UACAGAGGAGCCAAGCGUUGUCCGGAUUGACUGGGCGUAAAGCGCACGCAGGCGGUUGCGCGCGUGGGGUGUGAAAUCUGGCCGCUUAACGGCCAGGCGCCAUCCCAUACGGCGCGACUGGAGCGAUGCAGAGGUCGGUGGAAUUGCCGGUGUAGUGGUGAAAUGCGUAGAGAUCGGGAGGAACACCAGUGGCGAAGGCGGCUCGCUGGGCCGGACCUGACGCUGAGACGCGAAGGCGUGGGGAGCGAACGGG
rnacentral:rRNA from 1 species